rnacentral:rRNA from 1 species
UUACCAGACUCCUACGGGAGGCAGCAGUGGGGAAUAUUGCACAAUGGGGGAAACCCUGAUGCAGCGACGCCGCGCGAGCGAUGAAGUAUUUCGGUAUGUAAAUCUCUAUCAGCAGGGAAGAAAAUGACGGUACCUGACUAAGAAGCCCCGGCUAACUACGUGCCAGCAGCCGCGGUAAUACGUAGGGGGCAAGCGUUAUCCGGAUUUACUGGGUGUAAAGGGAGCGUAGACGGCGGCGCAAGCCAGAUGUGAAAGCCCGGGGCUCAACCCCGGGACUGCAUUUGGAACUGUGCCGCUAGAGUGUCGGAGAGGCAGGCGGAAUUCCUAGUGUAGCGGUGAAAUGCGUAGAUAUUAGGAGGAACACCAGUGGCGAAGGCGGCCUGCUGGACGAUGACUGACGUUGAGGCUCGAAAGCGUGGGGAGCAAACAGGAUUAGAUACCCUCGUA